UUCAAUUUUAAUUAUUCCUAAGGACAUAUUGUAGAUUUGCACUGAAUUUCAAACUUGUCCCGGAUAUUGCUGAUAUAAACCUGAUAUAAAUUUCAUAAUAAUUGGGCAAGAAUAAAACACAUCAGAUAGAGCCAACAAUGCAAUUUUCCAUAUAAUAAAUAUUUCCAAGGUGUAUAACUCUUUUUUUUUAAUUGUUGAUCCACACUGAUUUACAAACUUUUCAGAGACAUUGCUAACAUAAACCUGGUUCAUCAU
rnacentral:lncRNA from 1 species